rnacentral:rRNA from 1 species
GAUGAACGCUGGCGGCGUGCUUAACACAUGCAAGUCGAACGGGAAAUAUUUCAUUGAGACUUCGGUGGAUUUGAUUUAUUUCUAGUGGCGGACGGGUGAGUAACGCGUGGGUAACCUGCCUUAUACAGGGGGAUAACAGUCAGAAAUGGCUGCUAAUACCGCAUAAGCGCACAGAGCUGCAUGGCUCAGUGUGAAAAACUCCGGUGGUAUAAGAUGGACCCGCGUUGGAUUAGCUAGUUGGUGGGGUAACGGCCCACCAAGGCGACGAUCCAUAGCCGGCGUGAGAGGGUGAACGGCGACAUUGGGACUGAGACAAGGCCCAGACUCCUACGGGAGGCAGCAGUGGGGAAUAUUGCACAAUGGGGGAAACCCUGAUGCAGCGACGCCGCGUGAAGGAAGAAGUAUCUCGGUAUGUAAACUUCUAUCAGCAGGGAAGAUAGUGACGGUACCUGACUAAGAAGCCCCGGCUAACUACGU